AAGCGACAGGCUUUCGCCCGACAGUUCUGGGGGGAAAUAAUGGUAUUCGGGUUCGUUAGCACGUCCUUCGGGGAACAGUUUUUCUUGGAGAGGCAGUGGCUCUUGGUGAGACGAUUUUGUGCGCUUCAGCUAGCGCGCUUAGAAGCGUAAACAUCGACUCGAAGCGGGGCGCUGGGGGCCUCGUGCUCCGGCGCGCGAGCUUUGGGGUGUGCGCACUGCGGCGUUGACUGCGACUGGCGCGUGACAGGGGCAACCAGCAGACCGACGCCAGACCCGCGUGAAAAAAAAAAAAGUUAUCCUGUCAACCGAUUCAAAUACUUUCUGGAUUUACAGCUCAACGUGAAUUUUGUCUGGGCAAACGCGUCGUUCUCCGUGCGUCCCAGUCGGAGCACUGUUCGGUUCAACGCCCAAGGGCAACAUAAAUGCGCCGCAGACGCAGUACGUGGUUAGUUGGAGUGUUUUUUGACUGGAAAACCGCGUCGAAUGAAUCCGCUGACCCAGCCUCGCCUUCCAGGUUGUGAGAAAUUACGCGUCGGUCAUCAGAGAGGAAAGACUGGUAGGGAAGCUGCAGAUACGCUGGUCAUCCCCAACCGUCUUCCCUACUCGGACCGGGCAGUGAUCCCUGGCAACACACCUGGAUAAGCACCAUGGGAAGAGUAGCUUUCUUACUAUGGAAGAGGGAGUGGACAGCGUCUAAGGCCUCUCUGAGUCAUGAGGUUGCUUGAUGGGAACCAACUUUCAUACUAUCUGAAGAUCUCUACCAAAAAGCACUAAGGACUUCGAAGACUACUUCAAUGUAAACCAUUCAGGGCUGUCCAAGGGCGACACAUUACCAAUUCAAACAACAGCAAUGAAGAUGACACAACGACUAUAUCCGACUCUCAACAUUGUGUACCAGAGCUCUCUAUCCCUGGUCCUAAUCAACCUUGUUCCCCAAUCAAGUCAGUGCUGGGGUCUCCAAUAUUUAUCCUGGAGAGUCCCCAUCCAAUAAGUCUCAUGGGUCAUCUGUUUUAAAAGACGAGCAAUGCUUGCAAGCAGUUAAUGAAAAAAGUAAAUCAUCCAUUCGAUUAAGAGAGCUAUGGUCCUUGAGGGAUGAAGAGAACUUAGAUUUUAGUCCUUAAAUUACUUAUACUCACUUGUGGUCUUGGAGGGCCACUGUCCACUAGCUUUUAGAGAUAACUUAAAAUUCUUAAUGAGUAACAACAUGGAAACAGUGGUAGUGUAGGCUGAUUAAAUGAAAAGAUCCCAGGGUGGAAGGAAAACCAGAAGGCACAGCAUCCUUCCAGGACUAGAAGUGAAUACCAGUGUCCUAAACAAUCUCUAAAUUAUAAAAUUUAACAAAUCACUCAUUUAAUUGAUCACAAUGGAAGAUGCACAACUGCUUUCAAAAUACACACAACCUCUCCCAAUAUGGCCCUUAGAUACAGUAUAUUGCCAUUCAAAUGCUGCUUCACUUUAGACAACUAGUGCCUGGAGGAGAGGGAAACCAUUGGGCACUGGACACCCCAGUUCCACUAUGAUACACUACAUUUCAUUUUUCAGUAUUUGUGCAGCCCUGUUUGUGUAAUCUAUGUAUAUAAUUUUGAAAGUGUUCCGUGAUGUCUUAUGAAGGGCGAUAUAAAAUAU